GUGCUACAGAGUACAAAUAUUCCAACGAUUCCUACAUGCUUUGAAAAGGCAGCAAUAGAUGCGGGUGUAGGUGUAACAUGACUUCUUUUGUUCAUGAUUAGAUGAGUAAUCGCUUGAAUGAAGCUAAAUGCAGUCUGGUAUUAAUUUUUGUAACGUAUUCUCGGUGGGCGACCAUGGAGAUCUCAUCAUAGACGAUUCGUUGACGCAUUGACACAUGGUCAAGAGGCAUGUCAGUGUCCUCCCGGCUCUACAUGUCCGUUUCCGGGAAUUGAUUGGUGAUGACUAGUGCAGUUUGCCUGUACUUUGUUAGCCGCCUGCGCUAAUCACAACACAGAGAGGACGGAACUGUGACUACAUGUGAGAUCGCAAAUGCCGCACUGAUCAGGAAGAUCAAGAGCGACGCUAAAAAAGCCACACACGGACCCGGAAACGACCUAGAAAACAAUGAUGUGAUCACCAAACUGAAAUCAAUGACGUCGACAAUGGAGCUCCGUCACGGCUUGUUGUGUUCUCCAAACAGAUGACAUCAUAGAUGGAUAACGUCAACAAUCAGCUGACGUCAGAGACAAUCAGACUCUCUGCACUGCACGCGACAGACGGAUGUGUUGCUUUCGGAAACCACAUGUCGGCAUAACAAAGGCCAAUACUGAUCAGAUGGCACUGGUGUUUGGAUCAGGUAAGCUUAUAUUUUAAGUUCCUUGAGGUGAAAACAGUUUUAAUUGUAUUUAAACACUGUUGAAAGCUGAAAAGUGACAAUGGCGCGCGUCCAGAAGACUGCUACGGCUUUUUUUAUGCUUCAUUGAUCUUUACGUCUUUAUUUUCUUGUCAUUUCAAGUGAUUUGACAAAUUCGACGUCGAUGUUGAAGCUGUCCCACGCGGACGUAACCUUUGACGUAAUUUAAUAGUCUACCAAUGAAUUAAUUUUGCUGUUUUCAUGCGACGCAAGCAGGUCAUCAAAACAUGUUAUACAUGCUAGUCUAAUGAAGAAGCAGCCACAAGACUUUGGUUACUGAGAUUAAUAACGUCUGACAACCGUCCCAAAUGCCUGGAUUGUCUGUUUCGGGAGGUGAUUGUAUAUUGUCAAUAUUGCAGGAAAUAAAGGCUUAUGUUUUGGAAUACGUUGGUCGGGGUCCUUUCCUGUACAUCUCUGUCGCAAUCAGAGAAUGAGAAACACCGUGUUGCUUUACAAUACCCAUCUGUAGUAACCACGAAGUGCUACAGAGUACAAAUAUUCCAACGAUUCCUACAUGCUUUGAAAAGGCAGCAAUAGAUGCGGGUGUAGGUGUAACAUGACUUCUUUUGUUCAUGAUUUGAUGAGUAAUCGCUUGAAUGAAGCUAAAUGCAGUCUGGUAUUAAUUUUUGUAACGUAUUCUCGGUGGGCGACCAUGGAGAUCUCAUCAUAGACGAUUCGUUGACGCAUUGACACAUGGUCAAGAGGCAUGUCAGUGUCCUCCCGGCUCUACAUGUCCGUUUCCGGGAAUUGAUUGGUGAUGACUAGUGCAGUUUGCCUGUUCUUUGUUAGCCGCCUGCGCUAAACACAACACAGAGAGGACGGAACUGUGCCUACAUGUGAGAUCGCAAAUGCCGCACUGAUCAGGAAGAUCAAGAGCGACGCUAAAAAAGACACACAAGGACCCGGAAACGACCUAGAAAACAAUGAUGUGAUCACCAAACUGAAAUCAAUGACGUCGACAAUGGAGCUACGUCACGGCUUGUUGUGUUCUCCAAACAGAUGACAUCAUAGAUGGAUAACGUCAACAAUCAGCUGACGUCAGAGACAAUCAGACUCUCUGCACUGCACGCGACAGACGGAUGUGUUGCUUUCGGAAACCACAUGUCGGCAUAACAAAGGCCAGUACUGAUCAGAUGGCACUGGUGUUUGGAUCAGGUAAGCUUAUAUUUUAAGUUCCUUGAGGUGAAACAGUUUUAAUUGGUAUCUAAACACUGUUGAAAGCUGAAAAGUGACAAUGGCGCGCGUCCAGAAGACUGCUACGGCUUUUUUUUAUGGUUCAUUGAUCUUUACGUCUUUAUUUUCUUGUCAUUUCAAGUGAUUUGACAAAUUCGACGUCGAUGUUGAAGCUGUCCCACGCGGACGUAACCUUUGACGUAAUUUAAUAGUCUACCAAUGAAUUAAUUUUGCUGUUUUCAUGCGACGCAAGCAGGUCAUCAAAACAUGUUAUACAUGCUAGUCUAUUGAAGAAGCAGCCACAAGACUUUGGUUACUGAGAUUAAUAACGUCUGACAACCGUCCCAAAUGCCUGGAUUGUCUGUUUCGGGAGGUGAUUGUAUAUUGUCAAUAUUGCAGGAAAUAAAGGCUUAUGUUUUGGAAUAUGUUGGUCGGGAUCCUUUCCUGUACAUCUCUGUCGCAAUCAGUGAAUGAGAAACACCGUGUUGCUUUACAAUACCCAUCUGUAGUAACCACGAAGUGCUACAGAGUACAAAUAUUCCAACGAUUCCUACAUGCUUUGAAAAGGCAGCAAUAGAUGCGGGUGUAGGUGUAACAUGACUUCUUUUGUUCAUGAUUAGAUGAGUAAUCGCUUGAAUGAAGCUAAAUGCAGUCUGGUAUUAAUUUUUGUAACGUAUUCUCGGUGGGCGACCAUGGAGAUCUCAUCAUAGACGAUUCGUUGACGCAUUGACACAUGGUCAAGAGGCAUGUCAGUGUCCUCCCGGCUCUACAUGCCCGUUUCCGGGAAUUGAUUGGUGAUGACUAGUGCAGUUUGCCUGUACGUUGUUAGCCGCCUGCGCUAAACACAACACAGAGAGGACGGAACUGUGCCUACAUGUGAGAUCGCAAAUGCCGCACUGAUCAGGAAGAUCAAGAGCGACGCUAAAAAAGCCACACACGGACCCGGAAACGACCUAGAAAACAAUGAUGUGAUCACCAAACUGAAAUCAAUGACGUCGACAAUGGAGCUACGUCACGGCUUGUUGUGUUCUCCAAACAGAUGACAUCAUAGAUGGAUAACGUCAACAAUCAGCUGACGUCAGAGACAAUCAGACUCUCUGCACUGCACGCGACAGACGGAUGUGUUGCUUUCGGAAACCACAUGUCGGCAUAACAAAGGCCAGUACUGAUCAGAUGGCACUGGUGUUUGGAUCAGGUAAGCUUAUGUUUUAAGUUCCUUGAGGUGAAAACAGUUUUAAUUGUAUUUAAACACUGUUGAAAGCUGAAAAGUGACAAUGGCGCGCGUCCAGAAGACUGCUAUGGCUUUUUUUUAUGGUUCAUUGAUCUUUACGUCUUUAUUUUCUUGUCAUUUUAAGUGACGUCGAUGUUGAAGCUGUCCCACGCGGACGUAACCUUUGACGUAAUUUAAUAGUCUACCAAUGAAUUAAUUUUGCUGUUUUCAUGCGACGCAAGAAGGUCAUCAAAACAUGUUAUACAUGCUAGUCUAAUGAAGAAGCAGCCACAAGACUAUGGUUACUGAGAUUAAUAACGUCUGACAACCGUCCAAAAUGCCUGGAUUGUCUGUUUCGGGAGGUGAUUGUAUAUUGUCAAUAUUGCAGGAAAUAAAGGCUUAUGUUUUGGAAUACGUUGGUCGGGAUCCUUUCCUGUACAUCUCUGUCGCAAUCAGUGAAUGAGAAACACCGUGUUGCUUUACAAUACCCAUCUGUAGUAACCACGAAGUGCUACAGAGUACAAAUAUUCCAACGAUUCCUACAUGCUUUGAAAAGGCAGCAAUAGAUGCGGGUGUAGGUGUAACAUGACUUCUUUUGUUCAUGAUUAGAUGAGUAAUCGCUUGAAUGAAGCUAAAUGCAGUCUGGUAUUAAUUUUUGUAACGUAUUCUCGGUGGGCGACCAUGGAGAUCUCAUCAUAGACGAUUCGUUGACGCAUUGACACAUGGUCAAGAGGCAUGUCAGUGUCCUCCCGGCUCUACAUGUCCGUUUCCGGGAAUUGAUUGGUGAUGACUAGUGCAGUUUGCCUGUACUUUGUUAGCCGCCUGCGCUAAACACAACACAGAGAGGACGGAACUGUGCCUACAUGUGAGAUCGCAAAUGCCGCACUGAUCAGGAAGAUCAAGAGCGACGCUAAAAAAGCCAUACACAGACCCGGAAACGACCUAGAAAACAAUGAUGUGAUCACCAAACUGAAAUCAAUGACGUCGACAAUGGAGCUCCGUCACGGCUUGUUGUGUUCUCCAAACAGAUGACAUCAUAGAUGGAUAACGUCAACAAUCAGCUGACGUCAGAGACAAUCAGACUCUCUGCACUGCACGCGACAGACGGAUGUGUUGCUUUCGGAAACCACAUGUCGGCAUAACAAAGGCCAAUACUGAUCAGAUGGCAAUGGUGUUUGGAUCAGGUAAGCUUAUAUUUUAAGUUCCUUGAGGUGAAAACAGUUUUAAUUGUAUUUAAACACUGUUGAAAGCUGAAAAGUGACAAUGGCGCGCGUCCAGAAGACUGCUAUGGCUUUUUUUAUGGUUCAUUGAUCUUUACGUCUUUAUUGUCUUGUCAUUUUAAGUGACGUCGAUGUUGAAGCUGUCCCACGCGGACGUAACCUUUGACGUAAUUUAAUGGUCUACCAAUGAAUUAAUUUUGCUGUUUUCAUGCGACGCAAGCAGGUCAUCAAAACAUGUUAUACAUGCUAGUCUAAUGAAGAAGCAGCCACAAGACUAUGGUUACUGAGAUUAAUAACGUCUGACAACCGUCCAAAAUGCCUGGAUUGUCUGUUUCGGGAGGUGAUUGUAUAUUGUCAAUAUUGCAGGAAAUAAAGGCUUAUGUUUUGGAAUACGUUGGUCGGGAUCCUUUCCUGUACAUCUCUGUCGCAAUCAGAGAAUGAGAAACACUGUGUUGCUUUACAAUACCCAUCUGUAGUAACCACGAAGUGCUACAGAGUACAAAUAUUCCAACGAUUCCUACAUGCUUUGAAAAGGCAGCAAUAGAUGCGGAUGUAGGUGUAACAUGACUUCUUUUGUUCAUGAUUAGAUGAGUAAUCGCUUGAAUGAAGCUAAAUGCAGUCUGGUAUUAAUUUUUGUAACGUAUUCUCGGUGGGCGACCAUGGAGAUCUCAUCAUAGACGAUUCGUUGACGCAUUGACACAUGGUCAAGAGGCAUGUCAGUGUCCUCCCGGCUCUACAUGUCCGUUUCCGGGAAUUGAUUGGUGAUGACUAGUGCAGUUUGCCUGUACUUUGUUAGCCGCCUGCGCUAAACACAACACAGAGAGGACGGAACUGUGCCUACAUGUGAGAUUGCAAAUGCCGCACUGAUCAGGAAGAUCAAGAGCGACGCUAAAAAAGCCAUACACAGACCCGGAAACGACCUAGAAAACAAUGAUGUGAUCACCAAACUGAAAUCAAUGACGUCGACAAUGGAGCUACGUCACGGCUUGUUGUGUUCUCCAAACAGAUGACAUCACAGAUGGAUAACGUCAACAAUCAGCUGACGUCAGAGACAAUCAGACUCUCUGCACUGCACGCGACAGACGGAUGUGUUGCUUUCGGAAACCACAUGUCGGCAUAACAAAGGCCAGUACCGAUCAGAUGGCACUGGUGUUUGGAUCAGGUAAGCUUAUGUUUUAAGUUCCUUGAGGUGAAAACAGUUUUUUAUUGUAUUUAAACACUGUUGAAAGCUGAAAAGUGACAAUGGCGCGCGUCCAGAAGACUGCUAUGGCUCUUUUUUAUGGUUCAUUGAUCUUUACGUCUUUAUUUUCUUGUCAUUUUAAGUGACGUCGAUGUUGAAGCUGUCCCACGCGGACGUAACCUUUGACGUAAUUUAAUGGUCUACCAAUGAAUUAAUUUUGCUGUUUUCAUGCGACGCAAGCAGGUCAUCAAAACAUGUUAUACAUGCUAGUCUAAUGAAGAAGCAGCCACAAGACUAUGGUUACUGAGAUUAAUAACGUCUGACAACCGUCCCAAAUGCCUGGAUUGUCUGUUUCGGGAGGUGAUUGUAUAUUGUCAAUAUUGCAGGAAAUAAAGGCUUAUGUUUUGGAAAACGUUGGUCGGGAUCCUUUCCUGUACAUCUCUGUCGCAAUCAGUGAAUGAGAAACACUGUGUUGCUUUACAAUACCCAUCUGUAGUAACCACGAAGUGCUACAGAGUACAAAUAUUCCAACGAUUCCUACAUGCUUUGAAAAGGCAGCAAUAGAUGCGGGUGUAGGUGUAACAUGACUUCUUUUGUUCAUGAUUAGAUGAGUAAUCGCUUGAAUGAAGCUAAAUGCAGUCUGGUAUUAAUUUUUGUAACGUAUUCUCGGUGGGCGACCAUGGAGAUCUCAUCAUAGACGAUUCGUUGACGCAUUGACACAUGGUCAAGAGGCAUGUCAGUGUCCUCCCGGCUCUACAUGUCCGUUUCCGGGAAUUGAUUGGUGAUGACUAGUGCAGUUUGCCUGUACUUUGUUAGCCGCCUGCGCUAAACACAACACAGAGAGGACGGAACUGUGCCUACAUGUGAGAUCGCAAAUGCCGCACUGAUCAGGAAGAUCAAGAGCGACGCUAAAAAAGCCACACACGGACCCGGAAACGACCUAGAAAACAAUGAUGUGGUCACCAAACUGAAAUCAAUGACGUCGACAAUGGAGCUACGUCACGGCUUGUUGUGUUCUCCAAACAGAUGACAUCAUAGAUGGAUAACGUCAACAAUCAGCUGACGUCAGAGACAAUCAGACUCUCUGCACUGCACGCGACAGACGGAUGUGUUGCUUUCGGAAACCACAUGUCGGCAUAACAAAGGCCAGUACUGAUCAGAUGGCACUGGUGUUUGGAUCAGGUAAGCUUAUAUUUUAAGUUCCUUGAGGUGAAAACAGUUUUAAUUGGUAUCUAAACACUGUUGAAAGCUGAAAAGUGACAAUGGCGCGCGUCCAGAAGACUGCUAUGGCUUUUUUUAUGGUUCAUUGAUCUUUACGUCUUUAUUUUCUUGUCAUUUUAAGUGACGUCGAUGUUGAAGCUGUCCCACGCGGACGUUACCUUUGACGUAAUUUAAUAGUCUACCAAUGAAUUAAUUUUGCUGUUUUCAUGCGACGCAAGCAGGUCAUCAAAACAUGUUAUACAUGCUAGUCUAAUGAAUAAGCAGCCACAAGACUAUGGUUACUGAGAUUAAUAACGUCUGACAACCGUCCCAAAUGCCUGGAUUGUCUGUUUCGGGAGGUGAUUGUAUAUUGUCAAUAUUGCAGGAAAUAAAGGCUUAUGUUUU